AUAAAGGUCCUCAAUACCUGGUACCUUGGGUGAAAACUCGGGAGUUGCCGGUGGAUCCCUAUUAAGCCAUAUAGAAGGAGAUUUCCUAAACUAAGAAAGAAAAAUCAAAAUAAAAUUUCCUCCUCUUUAACUUAAAGAAUGAUGAAAUUUGAGUUUAAGAAAAAGUCUUAAGAAAAAUACUAUGAGGGGACACCAAAAUUAAGCACAUGAGGUUUAGGUGGAAAGAACCAAUCAAGGGAAAAUCAAGAGACACUAAGGGGAAUGCUAAACAUGGAUGCACA
rnacentral:lncRNA from 1 species